rnacentral:tRNA from 1 species
GCGCAUGUGGCGUAAUUGGUAGCCGCGUUAGACUUAGGAUCUAAUGUCUUCGGACGUAUGGGUUCGAGUCCCAUCUUGCGCA